GAUGAACGCUGGCGGCGUGCCUAAUACAUGCAAGUCGAGCGGACAGAUGAGGAGCUUGCUCCUCUGACGUUAGCGGCGGACGGGUGAGUAACACGUGGAUAACCUACCUAUAAGACUGGGAUAACUUCGGGAAACCGGAGCUAAUACCGGAUAAUAUAUUGAACCGCAUGGUUCAAUAGUGAAAGACGGUUUUGCUGUCACUUAUAGAUGGAUCCGCGCCGCAUUAGCUAGUUGGUAAGGUAACGGCUUACCAAGGCAACGAUGCGUAGCCGACCUGAGAGGGUGAUCGGCCACACUGGAACUGAGACACGGUCCAGACUCCUACGGGAGGCAGCAGUAGGGAAUCUUCCGCAAUGGGCGAAAGCCUGACGGAGCAACGCCGCGUGAGUGAUGAAGGUCUUCGGAUCGUAAAACUCUGUUAUUAGGGAAGAACAAAUGUGUAAGUAACUAUGCACGUCUUGACGGUACCUAAUCAGAAAGCCACGGCUAACUACGUG
rnacentral:rRNA from 1 species